rnacentral:rRNA from 1 species
AGACAGCAGUCGCCGCGGUAAUACAGAGGGUGCGAGCGUUAAUCGGAUUUACUGGGCGUAAAGCGUGCGUAGGCGGCUUCUUAAGUCGGAUGUGAAAUCCCUGAGCUUAACUUAGGAAUUGCAUUCGAUACUGGGAAGCUAGAGUAUGGGAGAGGAUGGUAGAAUUCCAGGUGUAGCGGUGAAAUGCGUAGAGAUCUGGAGGAAUACCGAUGGCGAAGGCAGCCAUCUGGCCUAAUACUGACGCUGAGGUACGAAAGCAUGGGGAGCAAACAGGAUUAGAUACCCGUGUAGUCCCUGUCUCUUAUAC